CGGUAAUAGCUCAAAUUUGAAAUCUAACCUUUACGGGUUCGAGUUGUAAUUUGUAGAGGAUGUUUCGGAUAAGGCUUUGAUUUAAGUUUCUUGGAACAGAACGUCAUAGAGGGUGAGAAUCCCGUCUAGAAUCGAUAGCCGCAUCCAUGUGAAACUCCUUCGAC
rnacentral:rRNA from 1 species